rnacentral:rRNA from 1 species
CCUACGGGAGACUGCAGUGGGGAAUAUUGCACAAUGGGGGAAACCCUGAUGCAGCGACGCCGCGUGAGUGAAGAAGUAUUUCGGUACGUAAAGCUCUAUCAGCAGGGAAGAAAAUGACGGUACCUGACUAAGAAGCCCCGGCUAACUACGUGCCAGCAGCCGCGGUAAUACGUAGGGGGCAAGCGUUAUCCGGAUUUACUGGGUGUAAAGGGAGCGUAGACGGCAGCGCAAGUCUGGAGGGAAAUCCCAUGGCUUAACCAUGGAACUGCUUUGGAAACUGUGCAGCUAGAGUGCAGGAGAGGUAAGCGGAAUUCCUAGUGUAGCGGUGAAAUGCGUAGAUAUUAGGAGGAACACCAGUGGCGAAGGCGGCUUACUGGACUGUAACUGACGUUGAGGCUCGAAAGCGUGGGGAGCAAACAGGAUUAGAUACCCCUGUAGUC